rnacentral:rRNA from 3 species
GGGUUGUGAGGUUAAGCGACUAAGCGUACACGGUGGAUGCCCUGGCAGUCAGAGGCGAUGAAGGGCGUGCUAAUCUGCGAUAAGCGCCGGUAAGGUGAUAUGAACCGUUAUAACCGGCGAUACCCGAAUGGGGAAACCCAGUGUGACUCGUCACACUAUCAUUAACUGAAUCCAUAGGUUAAUGAGGCGAACCGGGGGAACUGAAACAUCUAAGUACCCCGAGGAAAAGAAAUCAACCGAGAUUCCCCCAGUAGCGGCGAGCGAACGGGGAGGAGCCCAGAGCCUGAAUCAGCAUGUGUGUUAGUGGAAGCGUCUGGAAAGGCGCGCGAUACAGGGUGACAGCCCCGUACACAAAAGCGCAUGUGCUGUGAGCUCGAUGAGUAGGGCGGGACACGUGGUAUCCUGUCUGAAUAUGGGGGGACCAUCCUCCAAGGCUAAAUACUCCUGACUGACCGAUAGUGAACCAGUACCGUGAGGGAAAGGCGAAAAGAACCCCGGCGAGGGGAGUGAAAAAGAACCUGAAACCGUGUACGUACAAGCAGUGGGAGCCCCACCACCAAAGCAUUUGCUGUACCGCGUUGACGGAGCGAAGCGACGUCAAACCGAUAAAACAGCAGUGUAAAGUGAGCCGCAGGGCGCUUUG